rnacentral:rRNA from 1 species
AACGAACGCUGGCGGCAUGCCUAACACAUGCAAGUCGAACGAUACCUUCGGGUCUAGUGGCGCACGGGUGCGUAACGCGUGGGAACCUGCCCUUAGGUUCGGAAUAACUCAGAGAAAUUUGAGCUAAUACCGGAUAAUGUCUUCGGACCAAAGAUUUAUCGCCUUUGGAUGGGCCCGCGUAGGAUUAGCUUGUUGGUGGGGUAAUGGCCUACCAAGGCGACGAUCCUUAGCUGGUCUGAGAGGAUGAUCAGCCACACUGGGACUGAGACACGGCCCAGACUCCUACGGGAGGCAGCAGUGGGGAAUAUUGGACAAUGGGCGAAAGCCUGAUCCAGCAAUGCCGCGUGAGUGAUGAAGGCCUUAGGGUUGUAAAGCUCUUUUACCAGGGAUGAUAAUGACAGUACCUGGAGAAUAAGCGCCGGCUAACUCCGUG